UGCGUAGGCGGCUCUAUAAGUCAGUAGUGAAAUCUCGAAGCUCAACUUCGAACGUGCUAUUGAAACUGUAGAGCUUGAGUACAGACGAGGCAGGCGGAAUGUGUUGUGUAGCGGUGAAAUGCUUAGAUAUAACACAGAACACCGAUAGCGAAGGCAGCUUGCCAGACUGUAACUGACGCUGAGGCACGAAAGCGUGGGGAGCGAACA
rnacentral:rRNA from 1 species